AGGGCAGGCCGUGGAGGUGAAGGUCAGGGAGAGCAGGUCGUGGAGGUGAAGGUCAGGGAGAGCAGGUCGUGGAGGUGAAGGUCAGGGAGAGCAGGUCGUGGAGGUGAAGGUCAUGGGCUGCAGGCUGUGGAGGUGAAGGUCAUGGGCUGCAGGCUGUGGAGGUGAAGGUCAGGGAGAGCAGGUUGUGGAGGUGAAGGUCAUGGGCUGCAGGUCGUGGAGGUGAAGGUGAAGGCUGGAGGCUGUGUCAUUGUAACUUGUAGAGGAGACACAGCGCUCUUGGUCCUGUCGAGGCUGAGAGUGUGUGUGUAUGUGUGUGUGCAGCCAGCGGCAGGACUUUGUACAGAGGAACUAUUGAAUAAACCAUAUAUAUUCAUCUA